AGUUAACAGUUCACCGUGAAGGUCUCUCAUAUUCACAGAGAGGCAAGGAGCCAAAAUACUUGGGGUAUUUUAAACUAUCGCUAGAAAUGCCACGGUGGGAACCUAAAGGAUACUUUUCAGAGGCAAAAAGGCUGUAAUAUAAUGCAUCAAAGGAGCCCCAAGAAGCUCUUAAAUCACCAAUUGUCUCCCGGAGCUUUGAGUAAGGAGAAAAAAGGAGAGCGCAUUUGCUUUGAUGGUGGACUUCACUACCACGCUAUUAAAGCACAUCAGCGUCCUAAUUGCAUGCACGGUACCACUUAGCAGCGCUUCCCGGAGAGCGCCCUGCGACCACUUCUCAUUGAUCAUGUCAGCGACGCUACCAAACCGCAUCUUUAAGCCACUGAAAUAGUUCUGCACGAUGGAUUACAAAGAACUCAGCGAAGGUAUCCGCAAUCUCCGAAUACCUCCCGAUGCCUAGAGUUUAAAAAGGACGUUCCUACCGCUUACCGGGAAUCAGUAAACCAAGGAUCAGCACCAAAGCCUCCCUUACCUUGGGCUCCGCGUCUAUUUGCAACGGGAAAGGACGCCUGGGCUGAUUAAGAGGCAAAAUAGAAAGGUGGGAGGAAGAACUGUAAGCGACUUAGGUCAGUUGUUUAAUAUCCGAAUUUCAUCUCCCACAGGAAUCAAUAUGACCCCCUCCCCCUUUUUUUCUUGUCGUCUUUUUGUUCCCUUGAAGCCUUCCUUCCACUUCCUACUGAUCAACAGCAGCACUCUUAAAGGAAGGACAUAAAUGGAAUGAGCGUGUGUGUGUGUGUGUGUGUGUGUGUGUGUGUAUGUGUGUGUGUGCGCGCGCGCGCACGCUGCGUUAGUUAAUGGGGUGGAGGACAUUUGAUAGAAAUGCUGGACUCUAGGAACCUAUGCCUUUUCUCUGGUCAACCUUGCCUUUGCCUCACUACCGAAGUCUAAUAUCGAAUUGCAACUCCAAACUAAAGCCAAGAUGUUUCCGAGACAGCGGGUUCAAGCCUGGAGACCUUGCUCCUGAUCCCCAAGUCGACUCCAGCCCGCGUUAUUAAACGCCCCUAAAUUCACACGCACAUGUAUCAGUGUGCCUGCGAAUCAUUCACGUGUGGCCACCCAGACGUGUCGAGAUGAAUUGGAACCACAGUGCAUAAACCUCGCAAGUAUCCCCGACCUCCCAACGCAACGGUAAACGUCUCCCGGCUUAAAAGCGGCAAAAACAUCCCCAGUGAAAGCAAAACGUUUACCUUGAAAUUUCAGUUCUCCGCUGGAUCAAAUCCGCACAUCCAUUCAGCGAGGUUGGGUCCCCUCCCCCUCCCUCCCUGUGCUUCCCCGCCCCCAUUCACCUCCCACCCCAUCUGAAAGCCCAUUGCAAAUUCUGUCCAGCCAGUAUUAAACUCCAGCGUUUACAACUUUAAUUCAGUUCUAGUUACCAAGGGUCGAAGAGCUUCCUCUCAACCCACUCCCUUUCCCUUCCUCCUUGCUAGCAAAGGAGACCAAAAAUUUGAGAAAAUAAAGUUGAAUGAGCCUGGGGAGGCUGACAUUCUGA